rnacentral:misc_RNA from 1 species
AAUGCUACUGGUUUUGUAACUUUGUAUACGAUGGCAUUAGGAGUGAGAUAGAGCUUUCUGGACCGAAUAUCUUUCCGUAAGAUAUAUCUCCGCACAGGCAGAUACAGAAGCAUGAAUAAUCCAAUCCCCCAAGCCAGCAUUAGCAGCAAGGAGAACACAACCCAUCGAGCAGUUUGAUACUUAACAAAAUUCUCUUCCAUCUCUUCAAACGAAGCCGUGUAAAGCACCCUAUCCUCAUUAGAUUCACUUUCUUCGCCAGACUCACCACCACGCGAUUCCGUCAAUAAACCCUUUUCUAAGCUAUCAAUUUCCACAACUUCAUCUCCAGUUCCCAUAGAUUGAUCAGAAAAUAGUCUUCUUUUGACGGAAGUAGCCAGAGCUUCGAAAAUGGGAGAGACGAGAAUACGCUAACUGCUA